GACGAACCGUGCGAACGUUGUUCGGAUUCACUGGGCUUAAAGGGCGCGUAGGCGGGCAUUCAAGUCAGAGGUGAAAUCUUUCGGCCCAACCGGAAAAGUGCCUUUGAGACUGAAUGUCUAGAGGGAGGUAGGGGCGUGUGGAACUUCCGGUGGAGCGGUGAAAUGCGUAGAUAUCGGAAGGAACGCCGGUGGCGAAAGCGACGCGCUGGACCUCUUCUGACGCUGAGGCGCGAAAGCCAGGGGAG
rnacentral:rRNA from 1 species